UUCACGGCAGGAAAAAAAAAAAAAAAAAGAAAAAAUUAGGGACAGAAACUCUGUAGUGUUGGAGAGAGAGAGAGAGAGAGAAGAGCUCGAGCUCUGAUCGCUCGCUCGGGCUCUACAAAUCUCUAAUUCGUUAUUAUUUCAAAGCUUCUAGUGGGAGAAACUCUACUCUCUAAUAACCAGAGAAACAGCAAAACUCGAGCCAUCAAGCUCUAGCCUCACACAAGCCCUGAGAUUCUUGUACAGGAUACUCAUACAGAUUCCUAUUAUUCGUUUCACUGGGUUAUUCAUUGAAACAUUAUUACAUGUGAUGUUACGAGGUUACUGGACAUGGAGAGGGUUCCAGAAUCAAAAGCUCUUCCUGGGAAAUUGCCUGUUGUGUACCAGCUAUCAAAUACACGCUUGUCAUUGGGGAGAGAAGGGGGUCAGUUACCAAAGCCACAGACAGGAUUGGCAAGGGAAGUAUUGGGACGAUUUAAUGGACAAGGGUCCCAAGUUACAGACUCACAUGAGCCUGUAAGAUCAUGGAAGGGAAAAGACUCCUUGCUUGUACCAGAAGAGCUAAUGCUUGAUGUUGUUACUUCUAAGGCAAGCAGUGAUUCCUUUGAUGAAGGUGGCCCGAGUUCUUUCUCUGGGGCUAGUCAUCCACCAGAACCAGUUGAUACAGAUCUAAUGAAAACAUUGAUGUAUGUACCAAUUGGGCAGAAGAAGUCUGAGGCUGGAUGCCUCAUGAAGAGUAUGUCUGUGAAGGGGCCUUUCCUGGAAGACCUUUCAAUCAGGGUUCCAUCUAAGAAACCAACCCCAGCUGUUCUUUCACCAGCAGAAAGUUUGGUUGAAGAACCUAAUGACUUAGUCGUUCUGUCAUCACCAUUUUCAGUUCCUCGUGCAUCGCAAAAUACAGAAAACUCUCUCCUUCCACCUGAUUCAGAGGAGAAGGAAUGUGUGUGGGAUGCUUCUUUGCCUCCGAGUGGUAAUGUAAGUCCACAUAGUAGCAUUGACAGUACUGGUGUUGUCACAGCCAUGAGCAUCGUUAAUAGCUGUGCCAGUACAUAUAGAAGUGAUGUUAUUACAAGUGAUGGCAUGCUGAGUAUGGAGAGAAACUGCGAGAGUACUAAAGGGAGUGUUAGUCUCAGAGGAGAUUCACUUGAGAGUGCAAAGACCAGUGUUAGCCGUGCAAGUGAUAGCAGUGGCCUCAGUGAUGACAGCAAUUGGAGCAAUAUUACUGGGAGUGCAAACAAGCCCCACAAAGGAAAUGAUCCUAGGUGGAAAGCUAUUCUUGCCAUCCGAACACGAGAUGGAAUUUUAGGCAUGAGUCACUUUAGACUACUAAAACGGCUUGGCUGUGGCGACAUUGGUAGUGUGUAUCUUUCAGAACUGAGUGGGACUCGAUGUUUUUUUGCAAUGAAAGUAAUGGACAAGGCAUCUCUUGCAAGCAGGAAGAAGUUGACUAGGGCUCAGACAGAAAGAGAGAUUUUGCAGCUGUUGGAUCAUCCAUUUCUGCCAACUUUGUAUACACAUUUUGAAACUGACAGAUUCUCAUGUUUGGUCAUGGAAUACUGUCCAGGGGGUGAUCUGCACACUCUGAGGCAACGGCAACCUGGGAAACAUUUUUCUGAGUAUGCUGCAAGAUUUUAUGCUGCUGAGGUUUUGUUGGCACUUGAAUAUCUCCACAUGCUUGGAGUUGUCUACAGGGACUUGAAGCCUGAAAAUGUUCUUGUCCGUGAUGAUGGCCACAUAAUGCUCUCAGAUUUUGACCUUUCCCUUAGAUGUGCAGUUUCACCCACCCUGAUAAAAACUUCAUUUGAUUCUGAUCCUUCAAAACGAGCUGGUGGUGGUGCAUUUUGUGUUCAGCCUGCCUGU
rnacentral:misc_RNA from 1 species